rnacentral:rRNA from 1 species
GGAUUAGUGGCGAACGGGUGAGGAACACGUGAGAAACCUGCCUUUCAUUCUGGGAUAACACCGGGAAACCGGUGCUAAUACCGGAUGCUCCACCUUGAUCGCAUGAUCGGGGUGGGAAAGCUCAGGCGGUACAGGAGGGCCUCGCGGCGUAUCAGCUAGUUGGUGGGGUAAUGGCCUACCAAGGCUACGACGCGUAGCUGGAGUGAGAGCUCGAACAGCCACACUGGGACUGAGACACGGCCCAGACUCC